CUUAAAAAUAACAGCCACGAUAAUAACAGUCAUCACUUAUUGAAUGCUUACUACCUGCCAGGCACAGUAGUAUUACUUCACAUACAUUAUCUAUCAUAUUUAUAUCUUAGGGGUAGGUACUAUCACUAUCCCCAUUCUAUUGAUAUGGAUUUUGAGGCACAGAGAGAUUGGAUGCCUUGCCCAAGGUCGUUAGCUAGUAAAUGGCAGAGUCAGGAUUUGUAUCAAGCCAUUUGCUCUUAACCACUAUGUAUGUGCCAUCCACUGUACUAGCCUUUAAAAGAUUUAAAAGUAAAUAUGACCAGAGUCCCUGUCCUCAAGGAGUUCACAGUCUAUUAGAAGAAAGAAAGUGCAAAUAAUUGUGAUGCAGAGUGAUAAAUACUACAAUAAAGAUACACAGAAAAUAGUGAUUGUACCAAGGAGAUAAUCAAUUUUGCUUAGAUGGGAGUGGAGGGUUGAUGAAAUUUCAAAGUGGAGAACUGUGAGCUGAAUUUAAAGAAUGAGAAGGUGCAGGUAGGUAGAGUGACUAUAAAAGCAGAGGGAGAAGCAUGUGCAAAAGCUAAGGGAGGGGCUGGCCCCAUGGCCGAGUGGUUAAGUUUGCGCACUCCGCUGCAGGUGGCCCAGUGUUUCGUUGGUUGGAAUCCUGGGCGCGGAUAUGGCACUGCUCAUCAAACCACGCUGAGGCAGCGUCCCACAUGCUACAACUAGAAGGACCCACAAUGAAGAAUAUACAACUAUGUACUGGGGGGCUUUGGGGAGAAAAAGGAAAAAAAUAAAAUCUUUCAAAAAGCUAUGGGAACGUUGGAUUGGGGUGAGGUACUGGGGAGGGAGAGUCCGGGAAGGAGGACUACAACGACAUGCCAGGCAAAUGUAAGAAGUAUACGGAUUUUUAGACAGUUUUAAUAUGUUUAUUAAUUUUUUGAUAGGGCAAGUCUGUUAGCAACUUAUUCAAAGAAAAAAAUAGUCAACCCAUUAAAUAGAAUUCACUAUAAAAUGUAACAUGUUUUUUAAAUUUAUUUUUUUAUUGUGGUCAUAACAGUUUGUAACAUUGUGAAAUUUCAGUUGUACAUUAUUAUUUGUUGGACACCAUACAAGCAUGCCCCUUCACCCCUAGUGCCCACUCCCUAUGCCCCUUCCACUGGGGAACCACUAAACUGUUCUCUUUGUCUGUCAGUUUGUUUAUGUUCCACAAAUAGGUGAAAUCAUAUGGUGUUUGUCUUUCUCUGUCUGGCUUAUUUCACUUAACAUGAUACUCCCAAGAUCCAUCCAUGUGGUUGUGAAUAGGACGGUUUUGACUUUUUUAUGGCUGAGUAGUAUUCUAUUGUAUAUGUAUAUACCACAUCUUCUUUAUCCAAUCAUCAGUCGAGGGGCAAUUGGGUUGCUCCAUGUCUUGGCUAUGGUGAAUAAUGCUGCAUAGGUAGCACUGUUUCUAGCACAAGUUCAUUAACUAAUCAUAUGAUAAUUAUGUAAUUAAGUAAUUAUGGUAGUCAAAUGAUAAAUAAAAAUUCUAUACAAUAACAAAGUUACGAUACAAUAAAAAGGUUUGCUCCUUUACAAUAAUUUCCCUAUUAUUUUUUGUGUAACCUUCAAAAUAUCAUUUUAGUGCACUGUAAUUUACUCCAUCAUUCUCUUAUCUUGAUAUUCAGGAUACUUCUGAUUUCUUUCUAUUAUAGAUAAUGUCGUGAUAAAUACCUCUGCAGACAUAUUUUUUCC
ensembl:lncRNA